rnacentral:rRNA from 1 species
UACGUAGGGUGCAAGCGUUAAUCGGAAUUACUGGGCGUAAAGCGUGCGCAGGCGGUCCGUUAAGACAGAUGUGAAAUCCCCGGGCUUAACCUGGGAAUGGCAAUGGAUACUGGCGAGCUAGAGUGUGUCAGAGGAUGGUGGAAUUCCCGGUGUAGCGGUGAAAUGCGUAGAGAUCGGGAGGAACACCAGUGGCGAAGGCGACACGCUGGGCCGUACCUGACACUGAUGCGCGACAGCAUGGGGAGCAAACAGG